rfam:Microgenomates (Amesbacteria) bacterium GW2011_GWC1_46_24 TX46_C0002, whole genome shotgun sequence.
UUUUUUGAGAGUUUGAUCCUGGCUCAGGAUGAACGCUGGCGGAGUGCCUUAGGCAUGCAAGUGGAAUGUCGAUAAUCCCGCAAGGGAUGAUCGGCAUCGCAGACGGGUGAGUACAGCGUAGGAAUUUGCCCAAUGGUGGGGAAUAACUCGCCGAAAGGCGGGCUAAUACCGCAUAAGAUCGCAAGAUGAAAGGCCGUAACUGGCCGCCGAUGGAGAAGCCUACGUCCUAUCAGCUAGUUGGUGGGGUAAAAGCCUACCAAGGCUAUGACGGGUAGCUGGACUGAGAGGUUGGUCAGCCACAAUAGCACUGAGACACGGGCUAUACAUCUACGGAUGGCAGCAACCGGGAAUAUUGCGCAAUGGACGAAAGUCUGACGCAGCGACUCCGCGUGAGGGAUGACGGCCUUCGGGUCUUAAACCUCUUUUGUCCCGCUAUACGGCGGGGAGAAUAAGCACCUGCUAACCACGUGCCAGCAGCCGCGGUAAUACGUGGGGUGCAAGCGUUAUCCGGAUUUACUGGGCGUAAAGAGUUCGUAGGCGUUUUGCCAAGUUUUGUUUGAAAGACCGAGGCUCAACUUCGGAAACGGACGAAAUACUGGCAGAAUCGAGUUAGUUAGGGGGUACUGGAACUAUCAGUGUAGCAGUGAAAUGCGUUGAUAUUGACAGGAACACCAAGGGCGAAGGCAGGUACCUGGGACUUAACUGACGCUGAGGAACGAAAGCUAGGGGAGCGAAACGGAUUAGAGACCCGUGUAGUCCUAGCCGUAAACUAUGUACGCUUGAUCCUUGAUUUCCGCCUUUGGCGGAGCUGGGGGUUGGAGCUAACGCGUGAAGCGUACCGCCUGGGGAGUACGACCGCAAGGUUAAAACUCAAAGGAAUUGACGGGGAAGUGCACAACCAGGGGAGCAUGUGGUUCAAUUCGAUACGAAGCGAAGGACCUUACCCAGACUUGACAUCUCGAAGUUCUACUUUGCAGAAAUGCGAAGGAGUCCGUAAGGAGAUCGAGACAGCUGCUGCAUGGCUGUCGUCAGCUCGUGCCGUGGGGUGUCGACUUAAGUGUCGAAACGAGCGCAACCCUUAUCGCAUGUUCAAUAGUCUUGCGAAAAAGCCGCAAGGCGGAGCUAAUCCCAUCAAACCUCCCCCCAGUUCAGAUUGAGGGCUGCAACUCGCCCUCAUGAAGACGGACUUGGUAGUAAUCGCGGAUCAGCAGGCCGCGGUGAAUACGUUCUCACUUCUUGUACACACCGCCCAUCAAGCCAGCAAAGUCGGCAAUACCUGAAACUCUGGGUUUCCCGGGGCAAGGGUAGGGUCGGCGAUGAGGGCUAAGUUGUAAAUUGUUGCAACUUGCAGGAGUAAUUCUGCA